rnacentral:rRNA from 1 species
AUUGAACGCUGGCGGAAUGCUUUACACAUGCAAGUCGAACGGCAGCACGGACUUCGGACUGGUGGCGAGUGGCGAACGGGUGAGUAAUGUAUCGGAACGUGCCCAGUCGUGGGGGAUAACGUAGUGAAAAUUACGCUAAUACCGCAUACGAUCUAUGGAUGAAAGCGGGGGAUCGCAAGACCUCGCGCGAUUGGAGCGGCCGAUAUCAGAUUAGGUAGUUGGUGGGGUAAAGGCCCACCAAGCCAACGAUCUGUAGCUGGUCUGAGAGGACGACCAGCCACACUGGAACUGAGACACGGUCCAGACUCCUACGGGAGGCAGCAGUGGGGAAUUUUGGACAAUGGACGCAAGUCUGAUCCAGCCAUUCCGCGUGCAGGAUGAAGGCCCUCGGGUUGUAAACUGCUUUUGUACGGAACGAAAAGGUCUCUCUUAAUACGGGGGGCUCAUGACGGUACCGUAAGAAUAAGCACCGGCUAACUACGUGCCAGCCGCCGCGGUAA